AUAUCCCUACGGGGGGCAGCAGUGGGGAAUAUUGCACAAUGGGGGAAACCCUGAUGCAGCGACGCCGCGUGAGUGAGGAAGUAUUUCGGUAUGUAAAGCUCUAUCAGCAGGGAAGAAAAUGACGGUACCUGACUAAGAAGCCCCGGCUAACUACGUGCCAGCAGCCGCGGUAAUACGUAGGGGGCAAGCGUUAUCCGGAUUUACUGGGUGUAAAGGGUGCGCAGGCGGCCUGUUAAGUCAGCGGUAAAAGCCCGGGGCUCAACCCCGGCGAGCCGUUGAAACUGGCGGGCUGGAGUUGGCGAGAA
rnacentral:rRNA from 1 species